rnacentral:misc_RNA from 1 species
GUACAUGUCAGGCUGCAGGCCCAGCAUUGAAGCAUCGAACCUUGGUUGCAUCCACGGUGUCAUUCCAAGUCCGUUGAAAUUCAUAGAUGGUAUUCCUCGGUCCCCAUCUCCAAGCCACAUAUGAGGAUUCAAACUGGCAUCGUCAAUUUUUCCCCCAUGCAUAAAAGGAAGCCCUGACGGCCAAGGCCGCUUGAGUCUUAGGGCGAAAGGAGAAGGAUACAUUGGGAAUGUAGUCAGAGGUUCAAUCUCCCAAAGUGACACCCUCGGCUGCCUUUCACCGGCAGUUGAUUCAUCCCAGCCAACCUUCACAGACCGCCAAUGUGAGUUUGGCCAGCGGACAGGGUCUAGAUCAGCUAUCCCUGUAAUCGUACCCAUAUAGCG